rnacentral:rRNA from 1 species
CAGCCGCCACGGGAAUACAGAGGGUGCAAGCGUUAAUCGGAAUUACUGGGCGUAAAGCGCGCGUAGGUGGUUUGUUAAGUUGGAUGUGAAAGCCCCGGGCUCAACCUGGGAACUGCAUCCAAAACUGGCAAGCUAGAGUACGGUAGAGGGUGGUGGAAUUUCCUGUGUAGAGGUGAAAUUCGUAGAUAUUGGGAAGAACACCGGUGGCGAAGGCGGCAACCUGGUCCGAUACUGACGCUGAGGCGCGAAAGCGUGGGGAGCAAACAGGAUUAGAUACCCCGGUAGUCCCUGUCUCUUAUAC